rnacentral:rRNA from 1 species
UACGUAGGGUGCGAGCGUUGUUCGGAAUUAUUGGGCGUAAAGCGCGUGUAGGCGGGAUAGCAAGUCGGGUGUGAAAGCCCUCGGCUCAACCGAGGAAGUGCGCCCGAAACUACUGUUCUUGAGUGCCGGAGAGGGUGGCGGAAUUCCCGGUGUAGAGGUGAAAUUCGUAGAUAUCGGGAGGAACACCAGUGGCGAAGGCGGCCACCUGGACGGACACUGAUGCUGAGACGCGAAAGCGUGGGGAGCAAACAGG